CCUACGGGUGGCAGCAGUGGGGAAUAUUGGGCAAUGGGCGCAAGCCUGACCCAGCAACGCCGCGUGAACGAUGAAGUCUUUCGGGUUGUAAACUUCUUUUCUAAGGGACGAAGAUAGUGAUGGUACCUUAGGAAUAAGCUCCUGCUAACUACGUGCCAGCAGCCGCGGUAAUACGUAGGGAGCGAGCGUUAUCCGGAUUUACUGGGUGUAAAGGGGGUGUAGGCGGGAUGGCAAGUCAGAUGUGAAAGCCUAUGGCUUAACCAUAGUACUGCAUUUGAAACUGUUAGUCUAGAGUAUGGGAGAGGUAGGUGGAAUUCUUGGUGUAGGGGUAAAAUCCGUAGAUAUCAAGAGGAACACUCGUGGCGAAGGCGACCUGCUAGAACAUAACUGACGCUGAGGCGCGAAAGCGUGGGGAGCAAACAGGAUUAGAUACCCCUGUAGUC
rnacentral:rRNA from 1 species